GACGAACGCUGGCGGCGUGCUUAACACAUGCAAGUCGAACGGAAAGGCCCUGCUUUUGUGGGGUGCUCGAGUGGCGAACGGGUGAGUAACACGUGAGUAACCUGCCCUUGACUUUGGGAUAACUUCAGGAAACUGGGGCUAAUACCGGAUAGGAGCUCCUGCUGCAUGGUGGGGGUUGGAAAGUUUCGGCGGUUGGGGAUGGACUCGCGGCUUAUCAGCUUGUUGGUGGGGUAGUGGCUUACCAAGGCUUUGACGGGUAGCCGGCCUGAGAGGGUGACCGGCCACAUUGGGACUGAGAUACGGCCCAGACUCCUACGGGAGGCAGCAGUGGGGAAUAUUGCACAAUGGGCGGAAGCCUGAUGCAGCAACGCCGCGUGCGGGAUGACGGCCUUCGGGUUGUAAACCGCUUUCGCCUGUGACGAAGCGUGAGUGACGGUAAUGGGUAAAGAAGCACCGGCUAACUACGUGCCAGCAGCCGCGGUGAUACGUAGGGUGCGAGCGUUGUCCGGAUUUAUUGGGCGUAAAGGGCUCGUAGGUGGUUGAUCGCGUCGGAAGUGUAAUCUUGGGGCUUAACCCUGAGCGUGCUUUCGAUACGGGUUGACUUGAGGAAGGUAGGGGAGAAAUGGAAUUCCUGGUGGAGCGGUGGAAUGCGCAGAUAUCAGGAGGAACACCAGUGGCGAAGGCGGUUCUCUGGGCCUCUCCUGACGCUGAGGAGCGAAAGCGUGGGGAGCGAACAGGCUUAGAUACCCUGGUAGUCCACGCUGUAAACGGUGGGUACUAGGUGUGGGGUCCAUUCCACGGGUUCCGUGCCGUAGCUAACGCUUUAAGUACCCCGCCUGGGGAGUACGGCCGCAAGGCUAAAACUCAAAGGAAUUGACGGGGCCCCGCACAAGCGGCGGAGCAUGCGGAUUAAUUCGAUGCAACGCGUAGAACCUUACCUGGGUUUGACAUGGAUCGGGAGCGCUCAGAGAUGGGUGUGCCUCUUUUGGGGUCGGUUCACAGGUGGUGCAUGGCUGUCGUCAGCUCGUGUCGUGAGAUGUUGGGUUAAGUCCCGCAACGAGCGCAACCCUUGUUCACUGUUGCCAGCACGUUAUGGUGGGGACUCAGUGGAGACCGCCGGGGUCAACUCGGAGGAAGGUGGGGAUGACGUCAAGCCAUCAUGCCCCUUAUGUCCAGGGCUUCACGCAUGCUACAAUGGCUGGUACAGAGAGUGGCGAGCCUGUGAGGGUGAGCGAAUCUCGGAAAGCCGGUCUCAGUUCGGAUUGGGGUCUGCAACUCGACCUCAUGAAGUCGGAGUCGCUAGUAAUCGCAGAUCAGCAACGCUGCGGUGAAUACGUUCCCGGG
rnacentral:rRNA from 1 species